rnacentral:lncRNA from 1 species
AGCACCGGUGUCUGUACCUACUAUUGUGCACCGGUCCACAGGUACUUUAAAGCAGCCACAAGCAACGGAGGAUUUCUGCUCUGUGGUCUGCUCUGUGAAAAAUGAUCGAGACGUGUCUAUCUCGUGGUAUAAAGGGAGUGAAAUGCUGAACCAGACCAGCAAUCCUGAUCUCAGCAUCAACCUCAGUUUACCAUUAGAGCUUCAUUAUAACGAUCCAGAGACCUACAGCUGCACGGCUGUGAAUCCAGUGAGCAAUAAGAGCGUCUGUCUUCACAAGAAAGAGAUCUGCCCACGACAGGAAGAUUGUCUGGAUCACUGUGGCUCCACUGAGGCUCUGAUUCGUCUGGUUCUGUCUGGUCUGGUGGGAAUCACCACCGUUGGGUUUCUUAUUGAGAAUCUGAGGUUCUGCUCAUCUCGGAGAAGAGCUGCUGCUUCUGUGUGAUGGUGACUUGCACAAGAGUUUGCAGGGUGUUAUAUAUGACAUUGGUACCAUGAGAUACACAUGAGCGAAGCACCUGUUGGUUGCAGUAUUCUUUAUUUAUUGCUGUGGAGAUAAAAGUAUAGAUCUGGUCAAAUAAUUUAACUUUACUAGAGUAAAUGUGACCUGUAUGCUUUGCAAGUAUAUAAAAUGCACUCAUUUAUGCACAUAGUAAAACGUAAGCAUAUUCGUGUGUGAGUGAGUAUAUGCAAUAAUGUCUAUAAAUUUAUUGAUUUUUCGUUUGACUGUUAUUAUUAUCAUCGAUGAUGUAUUAAAGUUUUCGUUUCAGCUAAAACUUUAAUAUGCUGUAACAGCAUUAACUGGUAGCAUGAACACAUCCCCAGCUGUGUCCCAAAUGACGCACUAUACACUAUGCACUUAUACACUAUGUACUCAACAAUGUAGUGUAUGAAUUAUAUAAGGUUAUUUUGUCAUUCAUAAUAGCCCCUCCCCCUUCGCUACAUAAUUAAAGCUGCUACAGUUGAG